CCUACGGGAGGCUGCAGUGAGGAAUAUUGGUCAAUGGUCGGGAGACUGAACCAGCCAAGCCGCGUGAGGGAUGAAGGUACAGAGUAUCGUAAACCUCUUUUGUCAGGGAACAAAGGCGGGGACGUGUCCCCGGAUGAGUGUACCUGAAGAAAAAGCAUCGGCUACCUCCGUGCCAGCAGCCGCGGUAAUACGGAGGAUGCGAGCGUUAUCCGGAUUUAUUGGGUUUAAAGGGUGCGCAGGCGGUCUGUUAAGUCAGCGGUCAAAGCCCGGGGCUCACCCCCGGCCCGCCGUUGAAACUGGCAGUCGCGAGUUGGAGAGAAGUAUGCGGAAUGCGCGGUGUAGCGGUGAAAUGCAUAGAGAUCGCGCAGAACUCCGAUUGCGAAGGCAGCAUGCCGGCUCCACACUGACGCUGAGGCACGAAAGCGUGGGUAUCGAACAGGAUUAGAUACCCUUGUAGUC
rnacentral:rRNA from 1 species